AAUGUAAAAUAACCUAAAAAAAUGAGUGAUAAUUUCUGACGCGGCCCCACCCCAACCGCUAUAACUUUUGACCCAGGGGUCAGAUCAAAAUUCCAAAUAGUGCAGGGUCGCACAUAUGCUCAUAGCUACCAUGUGUGUAAGUUUCAAGGUUCUAGCGCUUUUAGUGUAGGAGGAGAUAGUGGCCCGGACGGACAGACAGACAGACAGACGGACGGACGGACGGCGGAGAUAACCACAAUAUCCCCACCUUUUUUUCAAAAAGCGUGGGGAUAACAAACUCUUGUGCAUUAUUUUGGUAGGGGCUUGUGAGUCUAAGGUACUUGGCGAAAGGUGAUUUUCUGUCAGGUUACUGACCUUCAUGGAAUUAGCAGGUCCAGUGCAUGCAAUAUUAUUGCAGCCUUUGUUGAUGCUGUCAAUUUAAGAAUUGAUAAUGUAAAGUUUCCAACUGGAAUGGCCCUUGCUUCUGUCAAACACGUAUUUUUUCAAAAAUGUGGCAUUCCAAAUACAAUUGGUGCAAUUGAUGGAACACUCAUUCCAAUAAUUGCCCCAGCAGCAAAUGAAGCCAUUUAUGUGUGUCGUAAAGGCUUCCAUGCCAUUAACGUCCAAGCAGUUGUGGACCACAAGGCCAGGU